CUCCUCUGGCCACUCUUCGAAGCAGAUCCACGCAUUGCACCGAGGACAGUUCAUCCAGGCCCCUGAAAGUCCACAUCAAGAGGAACUUCCUUACGUAGUGGGUUCAUCCAGAAAUAUCACCGGAGGGUUAUUCACCAGUUCGAGGGCUAUCGAAAGCCUCUUUCGUUCCCCACCCGAUAGCCUCUCCGUAAUGGUAUCCCUCACUCGACUCAGUCUUAAGCAUCGAAGUCCUUGUAUGAUUUAACCACCGAUGAUGACUUCGCCAAGGAAUCUACGCAUAAUUUCCUACACCUGUCGGAGUGUCUAAUAAAUCGACCCUGGCUCUACAAAGAAAUGGCAGACUGUGAAAAAUCUGCGAUUCUCCACGGAGGCUGCGUCCAAGAUCUGCAGUUCUGGAGCCCAUUGUCUACGCUGAAGUGCAUUCCCCAUGAGGUUGUACGCACUCGCCCCGGGUGGUAGUUACUGUUAAUGUGCAAAUCAAGUGCGGUUUAUGUUCCACGAAGGUACGAAGCAGUUCAACCUCAUCUUGAAGACGCUACUUUUCGACGUCUUCACCUGGCAGAGUGGCUUGGAUACAUUUUAUAAUUGCUGUGCGGGGUGUAUUAGACAAAGUG